rnacentral:rRNA from 1 species
AUGAAGGUAAUUCUGUGGAGAUUCGCCCAUAACUGUCUUCCAACAGGCGCUCAACUUCAAGUGAGAUCAAUCCCCACAAGGUAUGAUUGUCAUUUUUGCAGUAGGGAAGAAACCGUUGAACAAUGCUUUUUGCAGUGCCACUAUGUUAAAGAAAUCUGGAAAGAGCUUAAGAAAGAGUAUGCCAUUUGUUUGAAACUGAAAAGUUUUACUCACAUUAGGCAAUGGGUUUUAGAGUGGAUACAUAACGCUACAUAUUUUCAAUCUAUGAUUAUGGCAGUGGCAAUAUGGCACAUAUGGGAAAAUAGAAAUGCCUACCGUAAUGGUGAAGCUUUAAAUCAUCCUCUUUGUGUGGUGGGAAAGAUCAAAGCUUAUGUUGAAUUUAUCAAUAUGCAUUCUUUUAGUUCGACUACUUCCAUUAGACGUGAGACCUUGAAGUCAAACCAAAAAUGGUCUCCACCGCCGAAUGGGUCAAUGCUCGUCAAUGUGGAUGCAGCGACAUUCUCCCAAUCCACAAGAGCGGGCUUUGGUGUGGUAAUACAUGAUCACCGGGGAAGGGUGUAGGCUGCGAAUAGAGGUUACUUUGAACGAAUUCAAAUUCCUGAAGUAGUAGAAGCCAUGGCACUUCGUCAAGCAUUAAUCCUUGCCAAUAAUCUUGGCAUACAGAACAUCAUGGUAGCAUCUGAUUGCCUGUCAUUGAUCAACAAGGUCAAGGUUGGUUUUGAUAGGUCCCCUAUUGGAGCCAUAGUCCAUGAUAUUAGAAAAGGUGCCACAAAGUUUGUAUCUUGUAUUUUUAUUCAUGUCAAUCGUACUUGUAAUGAGGCAGCACAUGUUCUAGCGAAAUCGGCAGAGCAUGAUGUUUGGUCCUCCUGGAUUAAUGAGUUCCUUGAUGUAAUUAGGACCAUUAUCUGUAAUGAACUAAUUAUGAAUGAAUGA